rfam:Haemonchus contortus, ISE/inbred ISE, WGS project CAVP01000000 data, contig: Hcontortus_23861
GGCACAAACUUGAAGUAGAGUAGAUCGGUACGGUCAGCUUAUCCUACUAAACUACUUUACUGCGAAUUUGAGCCU